UAAUAGCGUAUAUUAAAGUUGUUGCAGUUAAAAAGCUCGUAGUCGGAUGUCGGGCUCGGGGAGGCUGUCGGCCUUUGGUCGGACGGCAUGUCCGGGCCUUUCUGCCUGGGGAUCCUAUUCUACUUAACUGUAGGGUAGUGGGACGCAGGCCGUUUACUUUGAAAAAAUUAGAGUGUUCAAAGCAGGCCUACGCUUGAAUACAUUAGCAUGGAAUAAUGGAAUAGGACUUUGGUCUUAUUUGUUGGUUUAUGGGACCGAAGUAAUGAUUAACAGGGACAGUUGGGGCCGUUUAUAUUUCGUUGUCAGAGGUGAAAUUCUUGGAUUUACGAAAGAUAAACUUCUGCGAAAGCAUUCGGCAAGGAUGUUUNCAUUG
rnacentral:rRNA from 1 species